GCUGUUCGAGCAGCGCGCGGAGAUGCUGCGCGCCUUCAACGCGCGCGGCGUGGUCUCUUCGAUCUGCUCGAAGAACGAUU
rnacentral:tRNA from 1 species